rnacentral:rRNA from 1 species
UACAGAGGUCCCAAGCGUUGUUCGGAUUCAUUGGGCGUAAAGGGCGCGUAGGCGGCGCGGUAAGUCGGGUGUGAAAUCUCGGAGCUUAACUCCGAAACUGCAUUCGAUACUGCCGUGCUUGAGGACUGGAGAGGAGACUGGAAUUUACGGUGUAGCGGUGAAAUGCGUAGAUAUCGUAAGGAAGACCAGUGGCGAAGGCGGGUCUCUGGACAGUUCCUGACGCUGAGGCACGAAGGUCAGGGGAGCAAACGGG